rnacentral:rRNA from 1 species
GCAAGUCGCACGAGAACGCUUCAGCUUGCUGAAGUAAGUAAAGUGGCGCACGGGUGAGUAACGCGUGGGUAAUCUCCCCCCGAAUUGGGGAUAACCCGCCGAAAGGCGGGCUAAUACCGAAUGACAUCUUGAAUAUUUAUGUUUUUAAGAUCAAAGAUGGCCUCUACAUGUAAGCUAUUGUUUGGGGAUGAGCCCGCGUACCAUUAGCUAGUUGGUAGGGUAAUGGCCUACCAAGGCUACGAUGGGUAGCUGGUCUGAGAGGAUGAUC